rnacentral:rRNA from 1 species
AUUUGUAACUGUUUAAUCUUAGCAGUGUUCGAACUUUUUAUGGUAGUUUUACUCAUGCAAGUUUAAGGUUGUAUAAUGCAACAUUAAGCGUGCGGGCGAGGAAUAUAAAAAAUAGAUACCUGAAGGAACCUAUUGUUGCUCUUUCAGAUUCAUUUUUUAUUCUGUAGGUAGUUGUUGUGAUAAUAGCGCAACAAGCCAGUAACAGAUAGAAAAGAGCGAAAGCUUCAAUUUCCGCAAUUGGUCUUAAUAAACCGAUCGGUCAGUUUUCUGACUGCUGCAGAGGAGAAUCUUGGGCAAUGUUCGAAAGAAUGACCCAGCUAACCAUAACUCGAAAUAAGUAGAGUGUCGUAAGGGAGGAUGAUGACGUUACCUUACUAUUAGUCCAAUCUAAGUCUCGUGCCAGCAGACGCGGUUAUACGAACUGGGCAAAAGUUGAAUAAAUAAAUAGGGUUUUAAGGAUCUGUAGGCUGUUAAAUAAGCAAUGCAAGCAACCUAUGGUUGCGUUGCGUUGCACUUAACUUGAAUUUAAUAGAAGAAAAUAGAAUGCUAGAAGUAGGGAUGAUAUCCGUUGAGAUCUAGUAGAAUACUAAUGGCGAAAGCAAUUUUCUAAGUAUAAAUUGACGCUGAGAGAUGAAAGUUUGGAUAGCGAACCAGAUUAGCUACCUGAGUAGUCCAAACCGUAAACUAUUUACACUAAUUCUUUAGUAAAAAUUCUAUAAAUUAACUAUUAAAAAAGUUAUAAAUUAGAAUUAAUAAUAAAUUAGAGAAAAAGCAAAAGGCUGUAUGUGUAACACCUUGUUAGUAAUGUCUCAAGACUGAAAGCAAAAAGAUUAGACCAUCCUUAAGAACCGGUGUGGAGCAUGUUGUUUAAUACGACAAUACGCGUAGAACCUUACCUCUCCUUGUAUGUUUAUUUAGCAAUCUACGGUUGCUAUUUAAUUCACAGGUGUUGCAUGGCUGUCGGCAGUUCGUGUCGUAAGAUGUUAGGUUGAGUCCGCCAACGAACGCAAUCCAUAGUAUAUAUUUAAGUAAACUCUUACUAUAUACUAUCUCUUUGAUAAAAAGGAUUAUAAUGGGAAUACGAUAAGCCGUCAUGACCCUUAUGGAGUAUGGGCUACAGACGUGCUACUUGAAUCUUACAAUAAGAUGCAAAAUUGUAAAAUUAAGCAAAUCUAUUAAAUAAGAUUUAAUAAGGAUUAUAGACUGAAAUUCGUCUAUAUGAAUCAGGAAUACCGAGUAAUCGUUUAUUAGUAUGGAACGGUGAACUAUUCUAUUAAGGAGAUACUAACUGUCUAUCACAUCUUGGUUAUGUUUAGAAGUGGAACUAAGUAUAUUCAAUUUCUAAAUGAGGUUAAAUAUAUUUAGGACAUUAUAAAUGGAACUGAGGUGAAGUUAUAGCAAGGUAGCCGUAAGGGAACUUGUGGCUGAUUGAUAAUAUAC